rnacentral:rRNA from 1 species
CUUGCUGGGUGGAUCAGUGGCGAACGGGUGAGUAACACGUGAGCCUCCUGCCCCUGAACUCUGGGAUAAGCGCUGGAAACGGCGUCUUAUACUGGAUAUGUGACGUGACCGCAUGGUCUGCGUCUGGAAAGAAUUUCGGUUGGGGAUGGGCUCGCGGCCUAUCAGCUUGUUGGUGAGGUAAUGGCUCACCAAGGCGUCGACGGGUAGCCGGCCUGAGAGGGUGACCGGCCACACUGGGACUGAGACACGGCCCAGACUCCUACGGGAGGCAGCAGUGGGGAAUAUUGCACAAUGGGCGCAAGCCUGAUGCAGCAACGCCGCGUGAGGGAUGACGGCCUUCGGGUUGUAAACCUCUUUUAGCAGGGAAGAAGCGAAAGUGACGGUACCUGCAGAAAAAGCGCCGGCUAACUACGUGCCAGCAGCCGCGGUAAUACGUAGGGCGCAAGCGUUAUCCGGAAUUAUUGGGCGUAAAGAGCUCGUAGGCGGUUUGUCGCGUCUGCUGUGAAAUCCGGAGGCUCAACCUCCGGCCUGCAGUGGGUACGGGCAGACUAGAGUGCGGUAGGGGAGAUUGGAAUUCCUGGUGUAGCGGUGGAAUGCGCAGAUAUCAGGAGGAACACCGAUGGCGAAGGCAGAUCUCUGGGCCGUAACUGACGCUGAGGAGCGAAAGGGUGGGGAGCAAACAGGCUUAGAUACCCUGGUAGUCCACCCCGUAAACGUUGGGAACUAGUUGUGGGGUCCAUUCCACGGAUUCCGUGACGCAGCUAACGCAUUAAGUUCCCCGCCCUGGGGAGUACGGCCGC